AGAACUUGGCUCUUGUUAGGUCCCAGUCCAGCAACGAUCUCUGUGCGGUUGCAGGGGACUGCCUGCAUGAAAAUCGCUGCAGUAGCAGAGCCUUAGUGAAUGAAUACAAAGGAGGACCACUCUGGGUGUACCAAUCCCGCACUGUGGGCCCAGGAGGCCACACCCCUUUUCCCCUGCUGUGCAUGCUCCAGUUGUAAGAGAGAGAGAGAAAAGAAGGCAGCAAGGUCAGUCAGGGCUGCCUGCGGUGGAGGAAGGAUGUGUACUGCAGUGUUCUCCAGAGGAGCCAAUGAUGCUUCAUGUGCCAGAGCCCAUGGACCCGGACUAUGCUAUGGACAAGUCGCCGACUGCAGAGACUGAUGGUGUAACAUGGUUUCUAGGUGUUAUGUUUGUGUUUGUGUUCAAUACAUAUUAGUGGUUAUGUUAUAAUGUUUAAUAUUUAGUAAUAGAAUGCAUAAAGCAAUGGUCACCGAGAGACUGGUUCAAAACAACUCAGUCUGGAACUUUCGCGCCACGCAGGCUAUUUAAGGACAGUGCUCUGUGUCAGCCAGGCUGUCCAUUGAAGAGGCAGCCAGAUACCUGUCUUGUUUGCGUGGGCUUCGGAGGAUUCCUUCUAUGGUUCCUGAACCACAUUAUCGAUCUGCAAAGGCAUCAAACACCUGAGCCAACCUACCCGUUCCCGGUUCUAGCACUGUUGUGUUCCUGGUUCGGCCAUAAAAGGUCCUGAGCUCCUCCUAUCUCUGGGCACGCCAGUCCGGUGAGAGAGUUGUAGGUCCAGGAUCCUACGAUCCCUAGCUUCAAUGACAGAUACUCAACAUCAGUUGCUGAUUUCCAGACUCCUAGAGACAGUACAGUUACUGGGUUUUUUUCUUUGUUUUACCUUUUAGUUAUAGUUAAUUGCCAAGGUCGGGGGUGGGGGCGGGGGCUGGGCUUCACACCCAUCUUCAUCUUUUGGGGCAACCACAUUGCUUUUUUCAUGGUUUAUCGUGUUUUAUUCUUUCCCUUUCCCAAACAUUGUUAGCUUUCCCUAAUAAAUUCCCUGUUUGUUUUUGAAGCAUA